AGUUCUAUAUGGAUCAUGGUUUGAACAUGUCCGUGGAUGGCUGUCCUGGAGAGAAUGGGACAACUUCCUGGUGCUCUACUAUGAAGACAUGAAAAAGGCACAACUGUGGACUGGAAGAAUCACUUCACAGUAGCCCAAGCUGAAGCCUUCGAUAAAGUAUUCCAGGAGAAAAUGAUUGUAUUCCCUCCAGGGAUGUUCCCAUUGGAAUAAGUUUUCAAAAUUUAAAAUAUUAUAUGAACACUGAUGUUUAUGUUCCUGUUGUUCAAUAUGCAAAUAAUUGAAUGUGGUCAUAAAAUAAAUACUGUUGUGGAAUUGUGAA